UACGUAUGGUGCAAGCGUUAUCCGGAUUUACUGGGUGUAAAGGGAGCGCAGGCGGAAGGCUAAGUCUGAUGUGAAAGCCCGGGGCUCAACCCCGGUACUGCAUUGGAAACUGGUCAUCUAGAGUGUCGGAGGGGUAAGUGGAAUUCCUAGUGUAGCGGUGAAAUGCGUAGAUAUUAGGAGGAACACCAGUGGCGAAGGCGACUUACUGGACGAUAACUGACGCUGAGGCUCGAAAGCGUGGGGAGCAAACAGG
rnacentral:rRNA from 1 species